rnacentral:rRNA from 1 species
GACGAACGCUGGCGGCGUGCCUAAUACAUGCAGGUGGGACGCAAGGGAACACACUGUGCUUGCACACCGUGUUUUCUUGAGUCGCGAACGGGUGAGUAACGCGUAGGUAACCUGCCUAUUAGCGGGGGAUAACUAUUGGAAACGAUAGCUAAUACCGCAUAAUAUUAAUUAUUGCAUGAUAAUUGAUUGAAAGAUGCAAGCGCAUCACUAGUAGAUGGACCUGCGUUGUAUUAGCUAGUUGGUAAGGUAAGAGCUUACCAAGGCGACGAUACAUAGCCGACCUGAGAGGGUGAUCGGCCACACUGGGACUGAGACACGGCCCAGACUCCUACGGGAGGCAGCAGUAGGGAAUCUUCGGCAAUGGACGAAAGUCUGACCGAGCAACGCCGCGUGAGUGAAGAAGGUUUUCGGAUCGUAAAGCUCUGUUGUAAGUCAAGAACGUGUGUGAGAGUGGAAAGUUCACACAGUGACGGUAGCUACCAGAA